UCUACAAAAUGCUCGGCUGCCGGUACGCUCCAUCUCUCCCCUUCCCCCUGGGAAAGCCCUGGGAUGACACCCAUAAUUAGCCAAGAAGGGGCUCAUCCCUGUGGACACAUUCUCGGCAUUGUUGUAGGCAAAUUCCGCCAGCGCCAACUUUUCUACCCAGUCAUCUCUCUGUCAUUGACAUAACACCUCAGGUAUUGCUGGAGGACACCGUUUGCUCUUUCCGCCUGCCCGUUGGUUUCAGGGUGCCGGGCAGUCGAAAAGUUGACCUCCACCUGCAGUAAGCUCAUGAGCUUCCUCCAGAACCUGGAAGUAAAUUGUUUUCCUCGGUCUGAGACCACCCUCAAUGGCACCCCGUGCAACCUAAAAUGUGUUCUACAAAUAACUUUGCUGUCUCUUCCGCCGUGACUGCAUGCGAGCAAGCUACAAAGUGGCACAUCUUUGUUAGUAGGUCUACCACCACCAUGAUGGCUGUUUUCCCUUUGGACUUCGGCAGAUCAGUCAUAAAAUCUAUCGACACUGCCUCCCAAGGUCGUUCUGGUGUUGGUAAGGGUUCUCAUAGCCCCGCCGGCGCCCGCCUUUCCCCUUUGGCUCGCUGGCACUGCUCGCACCCUCUUACAUACUCACGUACAUCCUCCCUCACCUUAGGCCACCAAAAUUCCCUGGUGACCAACCACAUGGUUUUGUGUUGCCCAAAAUGCCCCGCCGUGGGGCUGUCAUGCAACUGCUUGAGUACCCUCCCCUUAAGUCUCCUUCAGGGAUAUACAGUGCCCCUUUGUAAUACAAAGCUCCAUUUCUUUCCUCGAAACCCCUUGAUUCCUCUCCCUCAUCCCUAAGACCUCUAAGCUUAUUCUGGGCGUAUUCAUCAUUCUCUGUUUCUUCUACCAGUUCUCUUUGUCCCACCAAUGCCGCCCCACACACCCAGCGGUCCUCUGGAAUGACAUGUCUCUCUUCGGGUGCUCCCUCCCCUCCAAAUAUUCAGGUUUGCGUGAGAGAGCGUCCGCCCUAAUAUUCUCUGGGCCUGGCACGUAACAAAUCUCAAAGUUAAAUUUGGAGAAUUCCUGAGCCCAUCUCACUUGCCGUUGGUUGAGCACUCGUGCCGUCCUCCAAUACUCUAGGUUCUUGUGGUCAGUGCACACUUGCACCUUAUGUUGUGCGCCAAUUAGCAGGUGCCUCCAUCUCCGGAACGCCUCAUGAAUGGCUAGUAGUUCUCGGUCAUACACCGUGUAGUUCCUCUCGGAUUUGUUCAGCUUUCGCGAAAAAAAGCACACGGUCUCCACUCUGACUCCUCCUUCCCUGGCUGGAGAAGCACCGCCCCAACCGCUCUGUCUGAUGCAUCAGUUUCCACUCUCAUCGGUUUUUGUAAAUCCACAUGCAGGAGCUGUUGUUCCGAGGCGAAGGCCCUUUUAGUUCCUCAAAUGCUUGCUCCGCCUCCUCCGUCCAAACGAACUUCUUCUUACUGCUGAGACAGUCCGUAAUGGGCGCCGUCAGGUGGGCAAAGUUUGGGAUGAACUUACGAUAGAAGUUCCCAAACCCUAAAAACCUCUGCACAUCCUUCCUUGUUUUGGGUGUUUUCCAUUCCAGUACCGCCUGGACCUUGCCGGGAUCCAUGGCCAACCCCUUGUCAGACAGGCGAUACCCCAGGAAUUCCACCUCCUUGGUAUGAAACUGACACUUCUCCAGUUUCACCCACAGCUGGUUGGCUUGCAGCCUGCUCAACACUUCUCUGACGUCUCUCACAUGCUGCUCCUCAUUCUCAGAAUACACCAACACGUCGUCUAAGAAGGCCACACAAUUCUUGUAAAGCAACGGCCCCAGGACGUGGUUCAUAAACGAUUGAAAUGUUGCGGAGCCUGCUUGUAGACCGAAGGGCAUAACUAAGUAUUCAAAUGCCCCUAAAGGGGUGAACAUGGUGGUUUUCCAUUCAUCCCCCUUCCUUAUUCGUAUCAGGUUGUACGCCCCCUUAGAUCCAGCUUGGUGAAAAUCUUUCCCUUUCGCACCCUUGUCAAAAUGUCGUCAAUCCUGGGCAUCGGGAGGCCACUGGUUCUGACACUGCAUUUAAGGCCCUGAAGUCACACACCAGUCUCGGCUUGUUCGUGUUUUUUUGUCCACAAAAACACUGGGCUGCCCCCACCGCCCUGGACUCUCUGAUGAACCCUCUCUUCAGGUUCUUGUCAAUGAACUCUCUUAGCUCCUGCAUCUCUCUGUCUGACAUGGCGUACAGCUUGCCCACAGGGAGCUGUGCCCCAGGGAGCAAAUUGAUUUGACAGUCAAAGGCUCUAUGCGGUGGUAGUUGGUCAGCUUCCCUUUCGCUGAAGACGUCGCGGAGAUCUGCGUAUUGUCGUGGUACCUUCACGUUCUCCUUCACUUCAGUCCCUGCUAGGGUGGCUUGGGCCCCUGCCAAAACCUUUCCCUCUUUGCAAUGUUCUAAGCAAUGUGCUGACCCAAAAGAAACCACUCUCUGAUGCCAGCCCACCAGCGGAUCAUGUAACGCUAGCCAGCUCAUCCCCAAUAUAAUGGGAGCUCCUCCCAAGGUGGCCACAUUAAAAGCUAUCAGUUCAGUGUGCCUUGCCACCUUCAUUAUCAUUGGGACGGUCUGCAAGCUGACUUCUCCUCCCAACAGCUCCCUGCCAUCGAUCGUGGUUACCUGCAGGGGGUUGCUUAAAGGGAGCGUCUGUAUCUGGUGUUCAGCUGCAAACUCUUUGCUCAUGAAAUUGCAGGAGCUGCCUGAGUCCAACAGCGCCUUUAUCUUUAGAGGGUGUCCGUUUGGGAGCUCUAGUGUCACUUCUAUCACUAGGGCGGGUUUAGGAGGUUCUGGAGUGGGCACUUUCACUGCUCUUUGGCCUGGCUGCUGUGCCCCGACAAUGGCAGCCAGGCGUUGGCUUUUAGUUGCUCCGGUAUUUUUCCUCUCUUCCCUCCACAGCUCCCACCAUCCCUUGCCAUUCCUUCCUCUGGGGGCAGACUCUGGCAAAGUGCCCUGGCUGUUGGCAGAGAUAGCAUUUCCGGGCGCCUUUUCCAUCCUUCUUUCCCCCUCACUGGGCUUUGAAACUGCGCGCGCGCGCUGUUCCGAUUUCCAUCGGCUCUGCCGGCGGGACAGUUGGCUCUGGAAUUUCUGGAAUGCGGAACUCCUUCCAACGUUCCCCUUCCCUUCCCGCCUCUCCAAUGCUCUCGCCUCCUGGCGCGCCUCCUAUGGCCAGCGCUGAUUUGGUCAGCUGGUCCAUAGACUCCGCCCUGGGCGCCCGGGAAAGUUCAUCUUUCACAGCCGAAGAAAGCCCUUCUUCAAAGAGCAUUUGAAUGGGUUCCGCCGAUAAGUCCCACCCCAAUCUGUGUAUCAGCAUGGUGAACUCAGUCCAGUACUCACGUACAGAUCGGCUCCCUGUUUGCAAGCCAUUAACUGUCUGCGCACCACUCCCUUUUCAAUAUCGCUGGAAAACAUCAGAUCCAUGGCGCGAAAGAACUUCAUCGUGUCCUUUAAGACGUCACUAUUAGCUGCCAUCAGGGGUCUAACCCAGUCUCUCGCCCCUUUUCAAGAUGCCCAAUCACAAAAGCCACUCGUGAUUCCUCAUCAGGGAAAUCAUCAAACUGCAGAUUGAGGGCAUAUUGCAUUUCUGUCCGAAAGCUAUGAUAGUCUUUGGGCUCCCCCCCAAAUUUUUGCACCAAUCCUGGUACCUUUCUGGCGAGCUGGGUGGCUUUCUCCCCUUUGUCUGCAUCUUGAGCCCUCCUCUCCUCCAGCCUCGCCGUCUGCAGCGCCAGCUGGACCUCCAACACUCGGUACCUUUCUUCCAGGCUUGGACCCGCUCCAGCCCCUGCUUCUCCGGUUCCUGCUGGGUUGCUCAUUAUGCCUUCUCCUGCACAAGCUGCGUUCAAAGACUGUCGGAAUGCUGUGAUGGGAUUAUGAGCUGCUUGUGCGUAAAAUCGUAUUCCCUCAGAGUUUGUUCAAGUCCACAAACCUCUGUCUGUGACUGAGCCCCUCUGACAUGGCUCCUCUUAGUCACUAGAAGAUUCCGACAGUGGUUGCUUUCGUAAUCGCUUCCAACAUAAAAGCUCCUUAACGGAAACACGUCUUCUGGACUCUCUGCGUGACAGUUUCCGGCGAGGAGUGGGUGUCGCUACAGGAGGUCCGGAAACCUCACCACUGUUUUCGCUGGAAGUAUCUCUGAGCCAUCCCCCAGCUCCCUUUCCCUCAGUUCAGCUUCUCUCCCUGCUGGUUUCCUCUUCAGCUGCUAAGUCUCUUCCAACCUGUCUGAGCCCUUUCACCUCCCUCAGUUCAGCUUCUCUCCCCCUGCUGGUUUCCUCUUCAGCUGCUAAGUCUCUUCCAACCUGUCUGAGUCCUUUCACCUCCCUUCCUACCGAUGGCAGUUCCCUGACAAUACUGAUUUUUUUUAUUAAAAAAACACACAUAUUCACAUUUCAUAAUGUUUUUAAAUUUAUUCAUACUUUCUGUAGGAAAUUAGUACAUCGUUUUUUUCCAGACCCUUUAUAAACAUUUCAAAGAUGAAUAUCCAUUUUAAGCCCUUCGAAGUCCUGGAUCAGAUCUAAACUUUGAAAUGUGUUCUAAAUAUUUUUUUUUAAUCUGUUCUGGAGAAUUUGUCUCAAUGGAAAAAGUAGAGAAAAGUCUGCAGUUUCUUGCUGUUGUGGCCAUAAACAAUCUUAAGCAUAAGGUCAGUAGCUGAACAUCUUAGCCCACAUUGGAUUUACAAACUGGUGUAUGUUACCCCAAAGAUGUGAAUUUUAAAAGAAGCACAUUUCAGUAAGCCUUAGCCUAGACUUUAUAAUGAUCUCACAAUAUUUGGCCACAGAAUAUGCUUCUGAGAUGUUGGAAGAUGAGAUCAGAUGGAACCUUCCCCCAAUAAAAACCCUCAUGUUGAUAAUAUAUGAUCACCUUUUUUAUUGUGAGUUCUUGAAAUAACCACUAAUGCAGUCAGGGAAAAGAAACUCCAUUCCAUGUGACUAAAUAUGAAGAACUUAACUAGUUUUAACUAUUUACAUAUUGUUAAAUAUGCUGGGAGAUCAUAUCAUUUUUGUUGAUGCUUCCGUUGGGAAUAACAGAGCAGCUGGAGCUGAACACCUGAAAUAGAAUGCAUUCUAAAUUCAAUAAAUCAUUACAAUAAUCUACCCUAGUUUAUGAGCAUAAAAUUAUAUGAGUAAAGAAGAUUAUAGAUCCCUCAUUUAUUUCAUCAGUAAAAGUGUGACUUAACAUUUUACAGUUUAAAGUCCCACUCUUCCAAAGAAUUUUGGAUAGUGUGUUUGGUGUGUCCUUCCCUUUCCCCAAAUCUAUAUAACUGCCUUACACCUUGUCAGCAAACAUAGCCCAGUGUUGUCUAUUCUGACUGGAUGACUCUCUCCUGGGUCCUGGGCAGGGACCUUUCACAACAGAUCCUUUGAACUAGAGUUGAAACAUAAAAACCAUGUGAGAUUAACCAGCUGAGAAAUAGUGACUCGCUCAUGGUCCAUGGUUGAAUGGGGAUUUGAGCUCAGAACUUCCUUGUUCUGUGCUAGCUACUAUGAACAAAUGCUGGUUUGUUGGUAAUUCCAAAUUAGCUAAAUCUGUGGGAGACUGUAAGGUAAUAGAAGCAUCCAGCUAUGUUGAAAGAAGAGGGUGGCAGAUGGAAUUGUUUGUUAGGACAAAAUUAUUCACGUUUGUAAUAAUGCUUACAUAGCAUAAAGCACAGAAUAUAAUAGAGUAGGAGAAGACAAGAGUGCCUUCUGUGCAAUGGAAAACUAGACAUUGACAGUGCUGUUUUUCUAGAAAAAGAGAUGCCAGAAUUCACCAUGAAUGCCUCCUUUGUUCACUUCUAAUGGCAAUGGAGCGCACCUGAGAGGUGCCAGAACUGAGUUGCAGUGAGUUCCGGCUAAAAAAAAGCCCUGGUUACUGGCAUUCUCCCUCUUAAACCUCCCCGCCCCUUCAAAAGUAAUGUGGAGCAGAUUUGAAAAGUGAUGUUACAUCUUAUUUUAUGGACUGUGAUCCAUGCAAGUUGCCACAAUGCGUUUCUUUUUAUGGUGCCACCAGACUUUUGUUUGUUUUCCUGCAAGAUGGCUAGAACAUGGAUAAUUCUCUCUAGGGAAAGCAGUAAUGGAAGUUAGAAACAUCGCUGUCAAUUAGGACUGGGGAUCAGGGCAUCCAGCCAAAUGUAUUGUUGCCCUUCAUCCUCACCACCAAAAGGCAGAAGAGUAGAUACCAGGGAAUGGAGUAUAGGAUUUAGUGUGCACUUCCUUAUAAAACCAGAAUAGGGUUCCAUGCUAAAUGGACCACUUCUUUGAUUCAAGCAAAGCUGUUCUGUUUUCAUUUUUUGUUUUUAUGCCGAAAGAGUGAAGUGCCUUAUUCAGAGACUCAUGACAGGCAAUUUGAAAGAUACUAAAUUAUUUCUGUGUGUGUGCCAUCAGCACAUACAGAACAUCCACAGUGAUAGCCCUACACUGAAUGAUCAUACCAUAGGUUGCCAUACACUAAAGUGGAUUAGCAUCCUGACUUUUACCUCUCAGAAUGAAUUUUACUGCACUAAGAGCUGGUUUGCACUAGGUAGUGGCACCUUUACAAGGACCUCUAUGCGGAGAUGAAAUGUGAAUGAACUGCCACCUUUGUGUGGCAAACAAAGUGAGGAUGUUUCGACAUCCACACUUGCAGCACCCCCACUUCUAGAGCUGCUGUCAUUGUAGAAAUUGCAACACAGCCCCCUGUGUGGAGCUGUCUGUUCAUAUAAAUGACGUCUCCUAACCAAAAGCUCAAAAGUGGCCCAGUAUAUUUGCAAGCAUUCAUGAGGACCACUGGCUAGUGUGAACUGGCUGUUGUGAGGGUAAAUAUAACCAUUCUAUGAGUCAACUAAUCCCAGUUGGAUGGUUUUGAUUAUGUGCUCUGAGACUCCAUUGUGCCUGUGUGAUUAGAUUCCCACCCUCCCCAUAGAGUUUUCUAUCACCAACUGUGUCCUGGUUGUCAUCUAAAGUGUUGCUUUAGAAAUAUUUCUUCUUUAAAAAUCUACCUGUGCUUAAUUGGAGCUCCCAAUGCGAGGACUACUGCAUUCAGAGCACCACUGCUGAGUGAUUAACAUACUGUCUCCUCCAAUUUGAUUAUAUAGGUGGAAUCUUGAAAUAUUAUUGCACAUUGCUAAAAUGCAAUACAAAUUCAAAAAAUUACCUUUGGGGUGCAUGCGCAUAGGCUGCUUUAAUUCAAUCACCUGAAGAAAUCAUAGACAUGUGACAAAAUUAUCAUGAUAUCACAGCCCAUUGUUUGGGUUCUGUGAGGCUCUCCAUGCCCAAAUACCUGUUGGAAAAUCAGUGUAUUGUUUAAUCACAUUUGUCUUUCUCCAAGCUGUGGCCCACUUUUCUUGCCUCUUGCUUUGGUAAACUGCAUGAAAAAAACAGUGACUGACAUCUUUAUGGCAAAGCUGCUUGCUUAGGACAAUCUUCUUUUAGGGCAGUGGUACCCUGAAAGAUUGGGUAAUGCUGGUGCAACUUGCAGCACAUGGCCUCUUUGAUUUUCUACCUUGCCUUUGGGGCAGGGAGGAAGCCCUGAAAAAGUAGGAAGCCAGAAACAGUUUCCUGGCAUGUACACAGUAGUGUAGCAUGAAAAGUCUACAGGCACAGCUGUGUCAAUUGAUGGGGCAGCAAAGGAUCCACACACUUGUAUUCAGAUGCAUUAUAUAAAGAGAAAUAACCUGUGUGACUUCAAGACGGCUUCAGUAAACCAAAUUAUGUGUGUUUCAAAGCCCAGAUUUUAUAUUAUAGCACUUGUUGAAUCUGCCCUAUUAAAAAUGGGCACUGUCAUUUUUUAAAAGCCACUAGUUAAUUUUGUUGUAAAUACGUCAUUUAAAUACAUCAGCAUUAAAUACAGUGGUACCUCGCAAGACGAAUGCCUCGCAAGACGAAAAACUCGCAAGACGAAAGAGUUUUUCGUUUUUUGAGUUGCUUCGCAAGACGAAUUUCCCUAUGGGCUUGCUUUGCAAGACAAAAACGUCUUGCAAGUUUGUUUCCUUUUCUUAAAACCGUUAAUACCCAGGGUGACUUUGAGGAGCAACUCAUAGCACGCGGUGUGGUAGCCUUUUUUGAAGUUUUUGAAUACUUUGGUGAUUUUGAAGACUUUGGGAAACCGUGCUUCGCAAGACGAAAAAUUUGCAAGACGAAAAAACUCGCAGAACGAAUUAAUUUCGUCUUGCGAGGCACCACUGUACAAGGAUUACUUUUAGUAUGUGAUCCAAUAGGAGCUAUAUUUUUUGGCAAACCAAUUUUACCCAUAUUUUGAAUAGUUCUGUUGGUGGAAAGUGGUGGUUGUGCCUGUACAGAUAUGUAUUCAUUCUGCACUUGGCAGUAUGAUCCCAAUCUGUGUUAGACAACAAGGGAAGGGUCUUCCAAUUACACAGUGGCUAAGUUUAUCAACCCGCUAGAAAACUCUACUAUGCACACCCUUUGAACUUAAUAGCAGUUGUUGUGCAGAUGCAUUAGAGUCCUUGCAGAGUUGCCUUCAUUUUAGCACAACUUAAACAGGGAAAGGUCUCAGUGGUUUUUAGCUCCUUGUCUCCUAUGAGGAUUGAGGGAUGUUGCUCCCACUCUGCAGUAUUGCUAGAGGAUAAUUAUAAAAUUAGUUAUCUGUGUUAAUAUAGACUUGCAGUGGAAGUAGAUAUACUGAGUAGCUGAAACUAAUAGGUGAAUUUUAAAAAACAAAUUUAGGUAAGUCAAAAGCCAUCUUUUUUGGGGGGGAGGGGUUCAUGUAAGUAAAUGCAGUUUUAAAUUACAAAUGGGCAGUUCUUCCAGAUAUAGUUCCUGAAUACCCUCUUCAGAAAAGUUUUAUUAAACUGAAAAUUUGUGUUGAGUUAAGUUGCUGAAGAAAUGAGCAGAAGCGGUAUCCCUUUUCUAGGAUGGAAAUGUUCAUAUUAAAAGGGGUGUGGGAAAACUGUGGUUGCAAUUGACUUUUACUUAUGCUGCAUUCUUCCACCGUCCCAAGCACUUUGGCAUUCUUGCACUGAAUGGUUUGAUUCAGACAUAACACAACUCUGUGUAUAAAGCCAAGAUAUGCAUGGGCCUUGUCCUCACUGCCCUUUCUUUGCUUCCUUCCUCUUCAUACUUGAGUUAGUCAUAGUUUCCUCUUACAUCUAAAGUGGUAAACUAUAGGUCCUAAAAUUGGAACAAGGUUUGAAGCUCUUGGCUUGUCCUGAACUUUGUAACUAUAGCUUCCCCCUUUCAGACAUAAUGGGAACCUAUGGUUAAUUAACCUAGGUAGUCUUCAAUGUUAUGUCGGAACCAGACCAUUGCCUAGUUUACAUUUUUGAACCUGUUUGGGCAUGUGCCUGGCUGUGAAUUUCAAAACCUGGAAAAAGCAUCAUGUGACAGCAAAUUACGCAGUGUUUAAAUACAUGCUAUUUGAGGGUACAGCAUUUUCGUACAGAUUUAAAGUCACAAAAAAGUCCUACCCACUUCAACCCUGUUGUUAACGUUAUAACAUUCAUUUCUCAAAACAUUGUGGAUUUGUAUCAUAUUGUAUUUAUUUUGUUCAGGUUGUCUUCCUUUUUUUAAAAAAAGUUUUCUUUUAAGGCUCUGUAUAUAUUGACAUUAAAGUUUGUGUUGUAUUACAUUCUACUUAAGGAUGUAGCCGGUAUUGUAUUACAUAGUAUGUUGUUCUUUGCAUCCAUGCUGCUAAAGACAGUGUAUGCUUUCUCUCUCUGAAUCAUGACAUAUGCCAAAGACAGCAU